rfam:Lingula anatina scaffold136, whole genome shotgun sequence.
GGCCUGUUGGUGAAGCGGUUAACACACUAGGUUCUCAAUCUAGCAUGCAGGAGUUCGAAUCUCCUACAGGUCA